rnacentral:rRNA from 1 species
UUGAGAUUCCUGUACUACAGUAUGACAGAACUGUGGGGACGCAGAAGGAGAGCACUACCUGGAAUGGAAUCCAGGGGCAAGCACAGGAGGGGUACGGCUGGAAAAACCGCCGUGCAACCCAAAGGUGUGACGCAUACCGAACUAAAGUAGGGAAAUGUGUGAGCCGGCUGCCGAGAAAAGCCGCUAUUGUUUGUACUGUACCCGUACCGUAAACCGACACAGGUGGAUGAGGAGAGAAUCCUAAGGCCGACGGAAGAAGCAUUGCUAGGGAACUCGGCAAAAUGACCCUGUAACUUCGGGAGAAAGGGUGCCUCGAAAGAGGCCGCAGAGAAUAGGCCCAAGCAACUGUUUAGCAAAAACACAGGUCUAUGCAAAACCGCAAGGUGAAGUAUAUGGGCUGACGCCUGCCCGGUGCUGGAAGGUUAAGGGGAGAUGUCAGGAGACGAAGCAUCGAACUUAAGCCCCAGUAAACGGCGGCCGUAACGAUAACGGUCCUAAGGUAGCGAAAUUCCUUGUCGGGUAAGUUCCGACCCGCACGAAAGGCGUAAUGAUUUGGGCGCUGUCUCGGCAAUGCAUCCGGUGAAAUUGAAGUGCCAGUGAAGAUGCUGGCUACCCGCGCCAGGACGGAAAGACCCCAUGGAGCUUUACUCCAGCUUGAUACUGGGAUUCGGUAUUGUAUGUACAGGAUAGGUGGGAGGCUGAGAAAUGGUGACGCCAGUCGCCAUGGAGCCGCUGUUGGGAUACCACCCUUGCAGUACUGGAUUUCUAACCAGCAGCCGUAAUCCGGCUGGGGGACAAUGUCAGGUGGGGAGUUUGACUGGGGCGGUCGCCUCCGAAAGGGUAUCGGAGGCGCUCAAAGGUUCCCUCAGAAUGGUCGGAAACCAUUCGAAGAGUGCAAAGGCAGAAGGGAGCUUGACUGCGACACCGACGGGUGGAGCAGGUACGAAAGUAGGACUUAGUGAUCCGGUGGUAUUAAGUGGGAAUGCCAUCGCUCAACGGAUAAAAGCUACCCUGGGAUAACAGGCUUAACACUCCCAAGAGUUCACAUCGACGGAGUGGUUUGGCACCUGAUGUCGGCUCAUCGCAUCCUGGGGCUGUAGUAGGUCCCAAGGGUUGGGCUGUUCGCCCAUUAAAGCGGUACGCGAGCUGGGUUCAGAACGUCGUGAGACAGUUCGGUCCCUAUCCGGCGUGGGCGUAGGAUAUUUGAGAGGAGCUGACCUUAGUACGAGAGGACCGGGUUGGACUGACCUCUGGUGCACCGGUUGUCAUGCCAAUGGCACAGCCGGGUAGCCAAGUCGGGAAGGGAUAAACGCUGAAGGCAUCUAAGCGUGAAGCCCCCCUCAAGAUGAGAUAUCCCCCGCAUAAGCGGUAAGACCCCUUGAAGACGACGAGGUAGAUAGGGCAGAGGUGGAAGUGCAGUAAUGUAUGGAGCUGACUGCUACUAAUAGGUCGAAGGCCU